AUCAUUUACUUCAUUUUUUCCGCCUAUUUUUGGAAUUUAUCGCCAUUAAUCAAAUUUCUUAAUCUUAUGUUAUUCUUUUAGUAUUUGUUGAUCUUAUAUAUUUUUUUUUUUGUAUCUGCACAAUUUUGAGAUGAAAAAUGUUGUUUGUGGAAUUGAUGAAGAUUGCUGCAUGCAGCAUGCUGUUACUGUUGGUAGAGCAAGCGAUUUAAUUAAUAUUUUAGGAAAUAUUAUACAGAGGUUAGAUUCGCUAGAAGAAGGUAAAAGCGAGGUAGGAGAUGAUCAAAAUCAGCAAAUAUAAAGGUAUAUUUUAUGAUGCCAAAGAAUUAUUGGGUAUUAUAACAUACAAGAAAUUUGGAGCUUUACAUUGUUUAUGGUGUGAAGUGAUUUAAGAAUUUGUUUGGUUAUAUAAGAUGUGUUUAGUUUACUAAGUUUGGAAAGUCAGUCGAUUGAUAGGGUAUCUCUCGGUUCUUGAUCUCAUGGUGGUUUAAGUAUCGAUAGGGCUGGUGGUGAAGGACCCUACUUAUCAGGAAUAUCGGUCAAGGAUUAUCGGUUGGUUGCAGAAGGUUUUAUGUUGAAACAUAACAGUCCAGUUGAAACUGUUGCGUUUUUUGCCACAAUUGCUGUUAUAUAUGUUGGUCUUCUCCCCCGAUGUUUAUAUGACAGAAUAGAAUCUACUACUGGGUAGGAAAGUUUCACCCAAAAGGUAGCAUGAAGGGCCUUAGGACAUCUCGAGUGUUGGCUUCUUGUUGGUGCUUGAGAUUUUCCCGCAGGAUUUGGGGACAUGCUUAAUCAUUCGAUAGUGUAGCUGUACUCAGCUGUCUAGCCAAAAACAAGCUACCUUGCUUGCCUCUGUUCAGGAAAGGAAGCUGAUUAUGGAUUUACAUGUGCCCAAUCCAAGCUACAAUGUGCACAUUCAAGCUGAUUAAGAAGCUCGCCAUUAGAGAUGAUUGUGGCUGGAAAAUGAUGUAUCUGGAAAUGUUGAUGUGGCAAAUCAAGUUACAAAUCUUCCUGCAAUAUAACCUAUGUUGCACUAAUCGAGUCGACCUGCCAUGAGGCAUAUAAUCGACUUCUUCUACAGUUUGCGAAAUUGAGUAACGAAGAAUGUGCUAAUUCGCCAGCGUUGGUUGGCCUGGUCCAGUUUUUCUUUUUCUUCCUAUUCUUAAUUUUUUAAAUGGCAUGGCCACCAAAAAGCACACAUUGGCAAACAUUUGUAUACUAGCAGCCUAAGUAAUAAAUUUGCUAUUGCUCAUUUCUUAA